rnacentral:tRNA from 1 species
GGGGUGGAGCAGCUCGGUAGCUCGUCGGGCUCAUAACCCGAAGGUCGUCGGUUCAAAUCCGGCCCCC